AUACGGAGGGGGCUAGCGUUGUUCGGAAUUGCUGGGCGUAAAGCGCACGUAGGCGGCGUAGCUAGUCAGAGGUGAAAGGCCUAGGCUCAACCUGGGAACUGCAUUUGAAACUGGCAGGCUAGAGUUCGGUAGAGGAAGGUGGAAUUCCAAGUGUAGCGGUGAAAUGCGUAGAGAUUUGGAGGAACAUCGGUGGCGAAGGCGACCUUCUGGGCCUGAACUGACGCUGAGGUGCGAAAGCGUGGGUAGCAAACAGGAUUAGAAACCCCAGUAGUCC
rnacentral:rRNA from 1 species